rnacentral:rRNA from 1 species
AGAGUUUGAUCAUGGCUCAGAAUGAACGCUGGCGGCGUGCUUAACACAUGCAAGUCGCACGAGAAAGCCUUGGCUUGCCAGGGCGAGUAAAGUGGCGCACGGGUGAGUAACGCGUGGGUAAUCUACCCUCGAAUUUGGGAUAACCCUUCGAAAGGAGGGCUAAUACCGGAUAACAUCAUAGUUUCUUAGGAGAAUAUGAUCAAAGGUGGCCUCUACAUGUAAGCUACUGUUUGGGGAUGAGCCCGCGUACCAUUAGCUAGUUGGUAGGGUAAUGGCCUACCAAGGCUACGAUGGUUAGCUGGUCUGAGAGGAUGAUCAGCCACACUGGAACUGACACACGGUCCAGACUCCUACGGGAGGCAGCAGUGAGGAAUUUUGCGCAAUGGGGGAAACCCUGACGCAGCAACGCCGCGUGAGUGAUGAAGGCCUUCGGGUCGUAAAACUCUGUCAAGUGGGAAGAACCUGCAUAAGGUUAAUACCUUUAUGCAUUGACGGUACCACUGAAGGAAGCACCGGCUAACUCCGUGCCAGCAGCCGCGGUAAUACGGAGGGUGCAAGCGUUAUUCGGAUUUAUUGGGCGUAAAGGGCGCGUAGGCGGUCUUGUAAGUCAGAUGUGAAAGCCCGGGGCUUAACCCCGGAAGGGCAUUUGAUACUGCGAGACUUGAGUAUGGGAGGGGGAAGUGGAAUUCCUGGUGUAGAGGUGAAAUUCGUAGAUAUCAGGAGGAACACCAGUGGCGAAGGCGACUUCCUGGACCAAUACUGACGCUGAGGCGCGAAGGCGUGGGGAGCAAACAGGAUUAGAUACCCUAGUAGUCC